AGAGUUUGAUCCUGGCUCAGAACGAACGCUGGCGGCGCGUCUUAACCAUGCAAGUCGAGCGGCAGGCAGCAAUGCCGAGAGCGGCGGACUGGUGAGUAACACGUGGAUAACGUACCCCGCUGACCGGGACAGCCUGUAGAAAUAGAGGGUGAUACCGGAUAGAUCACUGUUUACGGAAGGUAGACAGCGGGAAAGGAGCUUCGGCUCCGCGACGGGAUCGGUCUGCGGCCCAUCAGCUAGACGGCGGGGUAAAAGCCCGCCGUGGCGAGGACGGGUAUCCGGCCUGAGAGGGCGGACGGACACAUUGGGACUGAGAUACGGCCCAGACUCCUACGGGAGGCAGCAGGUAAGAAUAUUCCGCAAUGGGGGAAACCCUGACGGAGCGACGCCGCGUGAACGAAGAAGGCCGGAAGGUUGUAAAGUUCUUUUCUGUCCGAGGAAUAAGUGUUGGAGGAAAUGCCGACAUGGUGACGGUAGGGCAGGAAUAAGCACCGGCUAAUUACGUGCCAGCAGCCGCGGUAACACGUAAGGUGCGAGCGUUGUUCGGAAUUAUUGGGCGUAAAGGGCAUGCAGGCGGGUCGCCAAGCUUGGUAAGAAAUACCGGGGCUCAACUCCGGAGCUAUAUUGAGAACUGGCGAGCUAGAGUUGCCGAAGGGUAUCCGGAAUUCCGUGUGAAGGGGUGAAAUCUGUAGAUAUGCGGAAGAACACCGAUGGCGAAGGCAGGAUACCGGCGGACGACUGACGCUGAGGUGCGAAGGUGCGGGGAGCAAACAGGAUUAGAUACCCUGGUAGUCCGCACAGUCAACGAUGUACACUGGGCGUGUGCGCAAGAGCGUGCGUGCCGAAGCAAACGCGAUAAGUGUACCGCCUGGGGAGUAUGCCCGCAAGGGUGAAACUCAAAGGAAU
rnacentral:rRNA from 1 species